AAGAAAUUGGUGUAUCACACACUUGGCUUCGAAUCAAGAGAUUCUUUUCUUA
rnacentral:tRNA from 1 species